rnacentral:rRNA from 1 species
UACGUAGGGUGCGAGCGUUGUCCGGAAUUAUUGGGCGUAAAGGGCUCGGUAGGCGGUCUGUCACGUCGAAAGUGAAAACUCAGGGCUUAACCCUGAGCCUGCUUCCGAUACGGGCAGACUAGAGGUAUGCAGGGGAGAAUGGAAUUCCUGGUGUAGCGGUGAAAUGCGCAGAUAUCAGGAGGAACACCAGUGGCGAAGGCGGUUCUCUGGGCAGUAACUGACGCUGAGGAGCGAAAGCGUGGGGAGCGAACAGG